AUUCCCCUCUUCAGUUUCUUCAAUUUUAGAGAUUAACACAGUACUUGCAGUAUUAGCUCUUCCCCUGGCUAAGCGCUUCCUUUUCUUCUUUGGUAUGAUUGUUCUAGUGUUCUUCUUGGGUGGCUUGGCUUCGUCCUCUGCUAUUUGGACAAGGUGAUCUAGAGGUAUGAGAUUUAUAGGUUCUAGAUAAGGUUUUGGAAUUGUUAGAGGGACCAAGUCUUUGGUGAAGCCUUUUUUUCUGAUUGUCUAGAGGGACGAGGUAGCAUGUUGAGAUGGGCUAAGUGGAGGGGAUUGGAGGCUAGGUUCAACUGUAUCAGGGUCUCGAUUCACAGGGGUUGGGUCUCUAUCUUCUAGGCCUAAGCUUCUAGCUUCAAGAUCUUGGCCCAUAAAAAUAGACUUGGUGCAACCUAAAAAUCCUGUGUUGGUGCAACCUAAAAAUCCUGUGUUCCCUUCCUGUUAAGGUUGAUUGAACUUCAUUAAAUGCAUUUGUCCUUCCUCAAAACCAUGUUUUGAGCUCCCAUACCUAGAGUCUUGAGCAAGAAAUAACUCUGUUAUCACUGAUUGAAAA
rnacentral:lncRNA from 1 species